GAGGGGUGAGGUUAUUACUUUGACAGACUCAAGCUAUAAGGAUCUACUCAAUAUGGACAAGUUGUUCUUCAUUUGGUGCUAUGAAAUUCGAUUUUGGUCGUUGCUUUCGUAUGAUUUAUGUGCUUUCGCUUCUCGUAUUUCCAUAAAAAGAGUAGCAUAUUGUCAAUGUUGUUUAUAAGUAGCUUCUACUGUGACAUCCACC
rnacentral:lncRNA from 1 species